rnacentral:rRNA from 1 species
UCUUACCAAAUUCAAAUUGAAUACGUCACUAACAUGUAAUUUUAGGUGAACCUGCGGAGGGAUCAUUACCGAGUGAGGGCCUCCGGGCCCGACCUCCCACCCUUUGACAAACGUCCCGUUUGCCUCGGGGGCGACCCGGCUCUCACAGAGGCCGGGUGCACCCGGAGGAACACCCCACCCUGCGUUAUUGCGUCGGAGUCUGAAUGGAAAAUCGAAUGAAAACUUUCAACAACGGAUCUCUUGGUUCUGGCAUCGAUGAAGAACGCAGCGAAAUGCGAUAAGUAAUGUGAAUUGCAGAAUUCAGUGAAUCAUCGAAUCUUUGAACGCACAUUGCGCCCUUUGGCAUUCCGAAGGGCAUGCCCGUUCGAGCGUCAUUUCACCAAUCAAGCCUGGCUUGGUGUUGGGCCCCGGGGGUGACCCGGACCCCAAUGUCCGCCGGCCGGACGACCCGUAUCCCAGCGUUAUGGCACUUUUUCGAGUUCCGCUGGUGGAGACGGGGCGGCCGCGCCGUCAGUACCUCUUCAAAACGAAAGGUUGACCUCGGAUCGGGUAGGGAUACCCGCUGAACUUAAGCAUAUCAAUAAGCGGAGGAAAAGAAACCAACAGGGAUUGCCCUAGUAACGGCGAGUGAAGCGGCAACAGCUCAAAUUUGAAAUCUGGCGCAAGCCCGAAUUGUAAUUUGUAGAGGAUGCUUCGGGGCAGCGGCCGGUCUAAGUUCCUUGGAACAGGACGUCACAGAGGGUGAGAAUCCCGUACGCGACCGGCUGGCACCCCACACGUAGCUCCUUCGACGAGUCGAGUUGUUUGGGAAUGCAGCUCUAAAUGGGAGGUAAAUUCCUUCUAAAGCUAAAUACCGGCCAGAGACCGAUAGCGCACAAGUAGAGUGAUCGAAAGAUGAAAAGCACUUUGGAAAGAGAGUUAAAAAGCAUGUGAAAUUGUUGAAAGGGAAGCGCUUGCAACCAGACUUGACGGCGGCGUUCCUCCGGUCUUCUGACCGGUCCACUCGUCGCCGGCAGGCCAGCAUCGUCUGGGGCCGCCGGAGAAAGGCAUGGGGAAUGUGGCUCCUCCGGGAGUGUUAUAGCCCCACGCACAAUACGGCGCGCCCCGGGCGAGGUCCGCG